rnacentral:rRNA from 1 species
GACGAACUGUGCAAACGUUAUUCGGAAUCACUGGGCUUGAAGAGUGCGUAGGCGGUUUCGUAAGUAGGGUGUGAAAGCCCCCAGCUCAACUGGGGAACUGCGUCCUAAACUGCGAGGCUGGAGUGAGGUAGGGGUGGUGUGGAACUUCCGGUGGAGCGGUGAAAUGUGUUGAUAUCGGAAGGAACGCCGGUGGCGAAAGCGACACACUGGGCCUUGUCUGACGCUGAGGCACGAAAGC